GUCCACGCCCUAAACGAUGUUUACUUGCUGUUUGCCUUUAAUAGGUGAGUGGCGUAGCGAAAGCGAUAAGUAAACCACCUGGGGAGUACGCCCGCAAGGGUGAAACUCAAAGGAAUUGACGGGGUCGCACAAGCGGUGGAGCAUGUGGUUUAAUUCGAUGAUACGCGAGGAACCUUACCUGGGCUAGAAUGUAUGCGGAAGUGAUCUGAAAGGUGAAACGCCCUCCGGGGACGGCAUACAAGGUGCUGCAUGGCUGUCGU
rnacentral:rRNA from 1 species